rnacentral:rRNA from 1 species
UACGUAGGGCGCGAGCGUUGUCCGGAAUUAUUGGGCGUAAAGGGCUUGUAGGUGGCUGGUUGCGUCUGUCGUGAAAGCUCAUGGCUUAACUGUGGGUUUGCGGUGGGUACGGGCUGGCUUGAGUGCAGUAGGGGAGGCUGGAAUUCCUGGUGUAGCGGUGGAAUGCGCAGAUAUCAGGAGGAAUACCGGUGGCGAAGGCGGGUCUCUGGGCUGUUACUGACGCUGAGGAGCGAAAGCGUGGGGAGCGAACAGG